rnacentral:rRNA from 1 species
AUGUCCAACAAGUUUGGGCACAUCCAGAAGGUCAAGUUCCCAGCGCUGUCCAAGCUCCUCGCCGUAGGCGUAGCGACCCACGAGGGUGAGAAAUGGGUUAAGCACAGAAGGAUACUCAACCCCGCGUUCCAUGUCGAGAAGCUCAAGAUCAUGUUGCCAGCCUUCUCUUUGUGUUGUGAAGAGCUUGUUAACAAAUGGGCACAGUCCCUUGGUCCCGACGGCUCGUGUGAGGUGGAUGCUUCCUUAGAGCUCCAGAGCCUCACCGGAGAUGUCAUCUCACGCACCGCAUUCGGCAGCAGUUAUCUUGAAGGAAGAAGGAUUUUUCAACUGCAGUCUGAGCAAGUCGGGCGGUUCAUGGCAGCCAUUCACAAGAUCAUGAUUCCGGGUUACACGUCCUUCCCUACUAAAAAUAAUCGAAGGAUGCGUCAAAUUAACAACGAGAUAGAGUCCAUUCUACGAGCUCUAAUUGGGAAAAGGAUGCAAGCUAUGCAAGAAGGAGGAAGCACAAACAAUGACUUGAUCGGCUUGUUGCUGGAGUCAAACAAGACAGACGUAAAUGAAAAUGGCCAAUCCAUUCCAGGAAUGUCCAUAGAAGAGGUAAUAGAGGAGUGCAAGUUGUUCUACUUUGCAGGGAUGGAGACAACAUCAAUAUUACUUACAUGGACAAUGGUCGUACUUAGCAUGCACCCAGAGUGGCAGGACCGUGCAAGGGAGGAGGUUCUUGGCCUAUUUGGAAAACAUAAGCUUGACUACGAGGGUCUUAAUAGACUAAAAACCGUGACAAUGAUUCUUUACGAAGUUCUCCGGUUGUACCCACCGGCUAGUGCAUUCACCCGGCAGACAUACAAGGAGAUUGAGAUCGGAGGCAUCAGGUACCCACCCGGCGUGAUUUUCGAGAUGUCCGUGUUGUACACCCACCACGACAAGGAUAUCUGGGGAGAUGACGUCCACCAAUUCAGGCCCGAUAGGUUCGCUGAGGGGAUCUUCAAGGCGUCCAAGGAACCGGGAGCAUUUUUCCCGUUCGGAUGGGGGCCACGGAUAUGUAUCGGUCAGAAUUUUGCACUCCUUGAGGCCAAGAUGGCGUUGUGCAUGAUUCUUCGGUGCUUUGAGUUUGAGCUCGCGCCGUCAUAUACUCACGCCCCACAUACCGUAAUGAUGUUGCGUCCCAUGCAUGGUGCUCAAAUUAAGCUGCGGGCGAUCUCUUCGUAG